rnacentral:rRNA from 1 species
UACGUAGGGGGCAAGCGUUGUCCGGAAUCAUUGGGCGUAAAGCGCGUGUAGGCGGCUCGAUAAGUCUGCUGUGAAAGUCCAGGGCUCAACCCUGGGAUGCCGGUGGAUACUGUCGAGCUCGAGUCCGGAAGAGGCGAGUGGAAUUCCUGGUGUAGCGGUGGAAUGCGCAGAUAUCAGGAGGAACACCAAUAGCGAAGGCAGCUCGCUGGGGACGGUACUGACGCUGAGGCGCGAAAGCGUGGGGGAGCGAACAGG